rnacentral:tRNA from 1 species
GGAGUAUUUUGCCAAAAACAAUAAGCUUCUAACUUAUUUUUAAGCGGUUAAAUUCCGUUUAUACUCCU